AAAUACUUAAUAAUAAGAGUGCCGUUUGUGGGAUCACAGACUGACAGGGGGCCACGGAAGAUCAGGCGCCACGGCUUGCCGCGGUCGAUGCCUGAGUGG